CGCUAUAUGCUCAAGUAAAAGAUUAAGCCAUGCAUGUUGGUUCAUCGUAAGAGAAACUGCGAACGGCUCAUUAGAGCAGAUAUCACAUCCUUCGGCAUUCCAAAUUGGAUAACUGCGGAAAUACUGGAGCUAAUACAUGCAACUAAGCCCUGACGUAAGGAGGGGUGCAAUUAUUAGAACAGACCAACCGUCCUAACCGACGUUGACUGUUGACUCUGAAUAAUGCAGUUUAUCGUCGGAGCAAUCCGACGAAGGCCGAAACUAGUGUCUGCCCUAUCAACUAGAUGGUAGUCUAUUAGUCUACCAUGGUUAUCACGGGUAACGGAGAAUAAGGGUUCGACUCCGGAGAGGGAGCCUUAGAAACGGCUACCACAUCCAAGGAAGGCAGCAGGCGCGAAACUUAUCCACUGUUGACAAUGAGAUAGUGACUAAAAAUAAAAAGACCCCUCCCAACGGAGGGGUUAUUUCAAUGAGUUGAAUACAAAUGAUUCUUCGAGGACCCAGGAGAGGGCAAGUCUGGUGCCAGCAGCCGCGGUAAUUCCAGCUCUCCUAGUGUAAAUCGUCAUUGCUGCGGUUAAAAAGCUCGUAGUUGGAUCUAGGUCGCGUGUCGGGGUUCGCCAUUGGCGUCAAUCUCGACUGCGACUUGCUGCUGGUUUGCCAUCGCGGCUCGUCCGUGUGGUGGCCAGCGAGUUUACUUUGAAUAAAUUAGAGUGCUCAAAACAAGCGUUGGCUUGCAUAUUCGAUCAUGGAAUAAUGGAAUAGGACUUCGGUUCUUUUUGUUGGUUCUAGAACUGAUGUAAUGGUUAAGAGGGACAACUCGGGGGCAUUCGUAUCAUUGCGCGAGAGGUGAAAUUCGUGGACCGCAGUGGGACGCCCAAAAGCGAAAGCAUUUGCCAAGAAUGUCUUCAUUAAUCAAGAACGAAAGUCAGAGGUUCGAAGGCGAUUAGAUACCGCCCUAGUUCUGACCGUAAACUAUGCCAUCUAGCGAUCCGGCGGGGUAUUUCGCCUUGCCGGGGAGCUUCCCGGAAACGAAAGUCUUUCGGUUCCUGGGGUAGUAUGGUUGCAAAGCUGAAACUUAAAGAAAUUGACGGAAGGGCACCACAAGGCGUGGAGCUUGCGGCUUAAUUUGACUCAACACGGGAAAACUCACCCGGCCCGGACACCGUUAGGAUUGACAGAUUGAAAGCUCUUUCUCGAUUUGGUGGUUGGUGGUGCAUGGCCGUUCUUAGUUGGUGGAGCGAUUUGUCUGGUUUAUUCCGAUAACGAGCGAGACUCUAGCCUGCUAAAUAGUGCGCGGAUUCUUAGGUCCGUACGCGCUUCUUAGAGGGAUAAGCGGUGGAGAGCCGCACGAGAUUGAGCGAUAACAGGUCUGUGAUGCCCUUAGAUGUCCGGGGCUGCACGCGUGCUACACUGGAGGGAUCAGCGUGUCCUACCAUUGCCGAAAGGUAUUGGCAAACCGUUGAAACCCCUCCGUGACCGGGAUAGGGAAUUGUAAUUAUUUCCCUUGAACGAGGAAUGCCUAGUAAGUGUGAGUCAUCAGCUCACGUUGAUUACGUCCCUGCCNUUUGUANANACCGCCCGUCGNUAUCCGGGACUGAACUGUUUCGANAANAGUGGANANUGCUGCGUUGGGGCUUCACGGCUCUUUCGUGAUGGGAACCAUUUUAAUCGCAAUGGUUUGAACCGGGUAAAAGUCGUAACAAGGUAGCU
rnacentral:rRNA from 1 species